rnacentral:rRNA from 1 species
GACGAACGCUGGCGGCGUGCCUAAUACAUGCAAGUUGAGCGAUGAAGAUUGGUGCUUGCACCAAUUUGAAGAGCAGCGAACGGGUGAGUAACGCGUGGGGAAUCUGCCUUUGAGCGGGGGACAACAUUUGGAAACGAAUGCUAAUACCGCAUAACAACUUUAAACAUAAGUUUUAAGUUUGAAAGAUGCAAUUGCAUCACUCAAAGAUGAUCCCGCGUUGUAUUAGCUAGUUGGUGAGGUAAAGGCUCACCAAGGCGAUGAUACAUAGCCGACCUGAGAGGGUGGUCGGCCACAUUGGGACUGAGACACGGCCCAAACUCCUACGGGAGGCAGCAGUAGGGAAUCUUCGGCAAUGGACGAAAGUCUGACCGAGCAACGCCGCGUGAGUGAAGAAGGUUUUCGGAUCGUAAAACCCUGUUGGUAGAGAAGAACGUUGGUGAGAGUGGAAAGCUCAUCAAGUGACGGUAACUACCCAGAAAGGGACGGCUAACUACGUG